rnacentral:rRNA from 1 species
AUGCAAGUCUAAGGAGAACGUAUUCUUCGGAAUACUAUUAAACUGGCGAACGGGUGAGUAACGCGUAGGCGACCUGCCCUAUAGUUUGGAAUAACCUCGUGAAAAUGGGGCUAAUACCGGAUAAUAUUGUAAAAUCAAAGGAGGACGCUCUUCGGAGCUCUUUCGCUAUAGGAUGGGCCUGCGUCUGAUUAGCUAGAUGGUAAGGUAAAUGCUUACCAUGGCAAUGAUCAGUAGUUGGUCUGAGAGGAUGAUCAGCCACACUGGGACUGAGAUACGGCCCAGACGCCUACGGGAGGCAGCAGUGAGGAAUUUUGCGCAAUGGGCGAAAGCCUGACGCAGCAACGCCGCGUGAUCGAAGAAGCUUUGCGGAGUGUAAAGAUCUGUCAUAAGGGAAGAACAGUAUGUAUUCUAACACAAUACAUACCUGACGGUACCUUAUAAGAAAGCCCCGGCUAACUUCGUGCCAGCAGCCGCGGUAAUACGAGGGGGGCAAGCGUUGUCCGGAUUUAUUGGGCGUAAAGGGUUCGUAGGUGGACUAGUCAGUCAAAAUUGAAAUCCAAUGGCUUAACCAUUGUCACGGUUUUGAUACUACUAGUCUUGAGUUAAAUAGAGGUAAGUGGAAUUCCUGGUGUAGCGGUGAAAUGCGUAGAUAUCAGGAGGAACGCCAAAGGAGAAGUCAGCUUACUGGAUUUAUACUGACACUGAGGAACGAAAGCGUGGGUAGCAAACAGGAUUAGAGACCCUGGUAGUCCACGCUGUAAACGAUGAGCACUAGAUGGUGGGUGAUUCGACCCUCUCACUGUUACAGUUAACGCUUUAAGUGCUCCGCCUGGGAAGUACGUUCGCAAGAAUGAAACUCAAAGGAAUUGACGGGGACCCGCACAAGCGGUGGAUUAUGUGGUUUAAUUCGAUGCAACGCGAAGAA